rnacentral:rRNA from 1 species
GUGGGGAAUAUUGGACAAUGGGCGAAAGCCUGAUCCAGCCAUGCCGCGUGUGUGAAGAAGGUCUUCGGAUUGUAAAGCACUUUAAGUUGGGAGGAAGGGCAGUAAGUUAAUACCUUGCUGUUUUGACGUUACCGACAGAAUAAGCACCGGCUAACUUCGUGCCAGCAGCCGCGGUAAUACGAAGGGUGCAAGCGUUAAUCGGAAUUACUGGGCGUAAAGCGCGCGUAGGUGGUUUUGUAAGUUGGAGGUGAAAUACACGGGCUCAACCUGGGAACUGCCUCCAAAACUGCAUGACUAGAGUACGGUAGAGGGUAGUGGAAUUUCCUGUGUAGCGGUGAAAUGCGUAGAUAUAGGAAGGAACACCAGUGGCGAAGGCGACUACCUGGACUGAUACUGACACUGAGGUGCGAAAGCGUGGGGAGCAAACAGGAUUAGAUACCCCGGUAGUCC